GUGGGGUGAGGGGCGUGCCGCGAGAAAUGUAGAGCAGAAAAUGAAAGCCGUCGAUGUGGAAACAAAAAAAUCUAGAUAAAUGGACGAAUAGAUAAAUGGACACGGAUCGACAACCGGAUAAGCAGAUAAACAACUGGAUAAACGUUCGUUUUUUGCUGUCUCGAUAACACAAAAUGAAGGAGACGCAAGGGCAGAAAUAGGGAAGAAUAGCAGCGAGAGAAUGAGGAAGAAAUUGUCGAGAGGAGAGUACUGCUAAUAUCCUGGGGGCGGUCGUGGGAUAGGGUGCACCUGCGCGUAUGACAGAUACGCCCCUGGCAUAAAGGCGACAUUUAGGUCACCGGCUUUUACCGCGGCAGACUGCACAUGCAGACCGGCCUUGCCAAUGAUCGUUUUCACUACUAGCAACGUUGCUCUCGGUUGCAAAGAAAUUUUACCGCCUGUUUAUUAUUACUGCUGCAAAAUUAAUCUUUCAGAUACAAACUAUACAUCGUUUCUCCAAAUAUUUCACUGAACCGUUUCUCAUAAGCAGUUGGUCAUUGCGUUCCACGAUACAUUGAUCUAACAUACUUAUUAUAAAUAUAAAAAUUUAUAAAUGCACUUUCAAAAGUCAACCUUAGAAUUAGGGCAACGACUCAGGGGUUAAAGAACUAACAUUCGUGCUCGGUCAUAGUAAAAUCGUUAACAACGUCGAUUGCUUCAUUAUUACGUAAAAAGAAUGUUAUCGAGGGUAAAUAGCAUGAAAUUAUAAAGCCAAUCGAUUGCCUCUAACUCUAAUAUGCACAGCCAGACCAUGUAACACUCGUGCACAUGUAAUGCACAGCACUUUGAGCACAGUAAAUGUGGCUGGAAAACUCCCCAUCCAUCAGAAUAUGUACAGAGGGGUUGGUCGUUGUACGUAUUUAACCAUUGAAUGGCAUAGUUUAAUUAUAGAGCACUUUACCGUGGAAUCACAAAAGGAUAAAUCUUAUAAAGAUCGUUCAUCAAUGGUUACUUUUCGUUGACAGCUUGAAUAAUGUAUCCCAACGAGGUAAACAAGGGACGGGUAAAUGUGUACACAACCUUUAAUAUGCAAAACCAGUUCUUUCACAGAAUAUUAGAAUCGGUAUGACCUAAAAAAUUAAUCGUUUCUGUUUGAUGAUUCUCUUAAUGAUUAUACAUUAGUAAGGAAAUAGGAAGGAUCCCUCUUUGCUGAUAAAACGUGUUCCUUUUCCAAAUCUUUCUCUUUGAGCUCGUAAGCUCUCAGACUCUAAUCCUCUGGUACUUUUUGAGUUCUGAAGGUUUCUCUGAGGCUUUCAAUCGAAGACAAAUGCUGGAAGGUUCCUAAAGAAGCUUAACACCAAAGUCGUUGUCACAACUAUGCCGUUAUCCAGGGAUGAGUUUACCGAGCGACAAUAAUUUGACAACCGCGCGAACGUGGCGCAGUGCAUAACAAGAGGAAAAUUAUCGUCCCGACGCCAAUUUCGAUCCUGACAAGGCUUGCAGUGUAUUCCAGAUCCCUAAGCUGAAGACACUUCCGCAGGGUAACGACUGUUCUAUCUAUGCGCCAGUUCGCCGUGCGAGUUACCACCUCAAACAGCGUAACUCGUCAAAUGAACAUAACCAGUUCCUGGCAACAGGAUAUCGGCGAUUUCUUCAAUUGCGUACUCUUCCGCGGAAACUUCCGGGGAAAAAGUCUGACGUCUUAACGAUAGAGAUCACCGUUAAACACACCCCUGUUUCGGAGUACGAGUGAUCGACCGCUGUAUGGUGUUAUCGAUUAUCCGUCCAUCUCCCAGCGAAGCGAAUUUCGAUAUCUGAAAUGUCUCCCUGACGAGCGUUGAAAAAUGAACUCCAAAGGAUGGAAAUAGCUCGCAAAAUCGACGGUAUUAAGUUUUGGGAUGUAACAGUAUGGAAGAUAUCUUACAUGUCUCAGAGAUUUUACAACCUUAAAAAUAGCUGCUGAAGUAUGGAAUAUUGUAUGGUUGGAUUUGAAUGUGUUGAGGCCCAUGAUUAUGCAUGGAGAUGCAGAAAAACUUUCAUAGACUUUGGAACAUUGCAGCCAUCUUGUUAACGGCCAUCUUGUAAAUACAAGACAGAGUAUAUGAAGAAAAGAGGAAUAUAAAAUUGAAGAGAAGAAUAAAAUUAAGAUAUGUAAUAUAGUAACACGACUUAAAAAGUAAAGUUAAAUGAUUUGAAGAGGAAUUGUGAUCUACCUAAAUGUAGAUAAAACAGUAAGACUUGCAACGUCAAAUACAGACUUGAACAUUAUGGCCAUUUUGUCUACGGCCAUCUUGUAAAACAUGUAAGCAUCAAGUAAUAAGAUACGAAGAAAAGAAUGUUUCGCAUGAAGAGAGGAAUAAAAUUAAGAUACGUAAUAUAGAAAAACGAUUUAAAAAGUAAAGUUAAAUGAUUUGAAGAGGAAUUUCGAUCCACUUAAAUAUAAAUAGAACCGUAAGACUUGCAGUGUCAAAUACAGACUUGAAUAUUAUGUCCAUCUUGUUUACAGCCAUCUGGUAAAACAUGGAAGCAUUAAGUAAUAAGAUACGAAGAAAAGAUUGUUUCGUUUGAAGAGAGGAAUGAAAUUAAGAUACGUAAUAUAGAAAAACGAUUUAAAAAGUAAAGUUAAAUGAUUUGAAGAGGAAUUUCGAUCCACUUAAAUGUAAAUAGAACAGUAAGUCUUGGAGCGUCAAACGCAGACUUGAUUGAACGUACACAGGAAAAAAGAAGCGUAAUCACCGAAGCUGGAAUAUUCAAAGCGUCAAACGACCGAAAUAUUUUCACCGGAGAGGAAAUAUUCCGUGGAAAGUCGAACAUGGCGUUCGCGGGAAGGCGUGCACGCACCCAGUGUUUAACAAGGGGGGAGAAGGCAUAUCGGAAAAUGUCGACACGAUAGAAAAGAGAGUAUCUCGGAUAAUGGAGUGGGUGUAUAUCAGUCUUUGCGAUAAGUUAUUGCUGAAUCAGUCGUUGUCGUUCCAUAGCGGAAGCAAUCCCGCCAAAAUAAAGGCAAAAGCAUCGUCUGCAAACUCCUAGAACGUCGAUUUAUCAUUUCUUUUUGUUCGGUCUGUUAAAAAAUAGCGAGUAAUUUCUAUCGGACUCCCAGUUUCUUUCCUUGCGUUUUAUUACUUUCAACGUGCCGUUGAUAUUUUCGUUCGAUGGUCGAUCAGGAUCGCAUUGAAAAAAAGAAAAAAAUCGUUCCCGCGAGAAUCUAUGCCUCUGGUAGCGACAUGAAUAAAAAAUCAGACCCGGAAUUCGAACGACGAACCGCAGAGUCGAUUCAUUAUAAAUAAAGAACGAGGCAAACAAAAAACCGUCGGUGUUUUUUUUCCCCGCUGACCCUCUACGGACAAAUUAACAAAUUAACGAACGUUCGCUCCAAAGCGGGUCACUUUCAAUCAACAGUGUCGCUAUCCGUCUCGUUCUUUCUUUGUCCUUCCCGUUUUAAACGUCAGAAACAAGUGCGCCGUUUUUCCAAUUCGCCAUAAAUUGUAAAAAGCUUUCGUGCGGGGCAGAAGGGACAGAAUUACCCGGCCUUUUUUGUCAAUGCUCUCGUACGGUAUUAUUCAGGGCCUUUUCAAAAGGGCCGGCCAAAUCGCAAUGAUAAAUUCGAAGCGUAACGCGAAUAAUCGUUCGUACGAACAAAAAGCGCAUCGAGACAAAAGAGUGAAAAGGGAGAGGGUGAAAAAAAAAUCGCGAUAGCUCCUCCUCCAUCGGUUCCGGGACGUUUAAUUCGCGAAGAGGGCCGCUACGGGGAGGCUGCUAGCUAGCAAAUUAAUGCGAAAAUUUAAUGCAGCUGUCACGUGUCCGGCCGUUACUAAAUCUACGUAUAACGUCAUUAAAUUCGGGAAAUCGCCGCUGCCUGACUACACGCGUUUUGUUUCGUACGUCGCACGUAUUGUGACCCGUUUCGCUAAUUGUAAUAAUUUUCUUGCUCCAAGCGCCGUUUCAAAUAUUCCACUCGUUUCAGAACUCUCUGUUUCAGAUCUCACGCCGGUCUUUCUUCACCUUUUCUGGAUUCUUCAGAAUACUCCCUAGAGUCACUGCAGGUGCAAGACUUCAGUCACUGCAAUUUAUUUGGACAUUUGACCAUCACGGUUGCAGGCAGCUCCAUUGUACAGAGUUCAUAAAAUAGGAAUUAAAGCGAUCGAACGUACACGUAGUACACGUAGAAUGUGUACGUAGAUAGUUUGUGACCGUGCGUGUUAACAACCGACACACAGCCACAAAAUGGCGUUUUUCUGCACAAUCGAUUGUCUACGGUAGCCAAUAUCCCUUGUUUCUGCUCGCAUUGUUGCACAUUGGAAAGCGCUGUUUAGAAACAACAGUUCGAACAACAGUUGUCGAGACUAAAUGAAGUAAAAAAAACAAUGAAGAUUACUCGCCUUAAUCAAGCUUGCUGUACAAGAUGGUAAUAGCGCAUCGCUGGGGAAGCUGCGAGAUAUAUUUGUCUCUCCCGGUAAUUCGCGAGGCUGCAGAAACUUUGAAAUUAUUUAAUUAGAAAUUCUUGUUGCAGGGAAUUUUACACGUAACGUAAGUACGGAAACUAAAUAUGUACCUUGCGUUAAGCGGUUGUGGAUUUGAACACUUCAAAUCCCACCCAGCCUCCUCCAAAGAAUUCGAACACCUCUCGCCGUUAUACCGCCAUGUGCAAUUAAAAACUUUGCCUCGUGUAUCGCUUGUAGCACAUUUUCACGACUUUCGUUAAAACGGAAUAGUUUGCGACGCUUGCCUGUAUUAUACUCACUAGUGUCUGAGGGGAGGUGAUUCUGAACAAGAUUUCUCUUUGCAGAAAUGUGGUUCGAAGCUUCGUUCUUGAAUUAUUACGGAAAGACAAUCGGAUGCGCGCGCAGGCGCGAGGCGACGGCUUCCAACAUGGCGGCGGAGCGCGCGCAAUCAGAGCGCUCUGAUUGGCCGGUGUUUUUCCUUAAUAAUUCAAAAACGAAGCUACGGGGCACAUUCUUGCAAAGGGAAAUCUUGUUCAGAAUUAACUCCUCUUCAUUUUAGGAACGUUAGUUGUGAGAUAUCUUGUAUAAGAGUGCAAUUUUCGAUACAGAAAGAUCGUCAUAAUAUAAAAUAAUCAAUCGUUACUUUCAAAGGAUAUAGAAUAUUUAUUUGUAUUUUAUUUAAACAAAAUUGCACUGUCAUUAGUCUCAUCCAGCUAUAUCCUUUGAGAAGUACACACUUUGUAGAAUAGAAUGUAUGUACAUCCACCCGUUCGAAUUUCAGACGAGUUGGAUAUUGGUGGCCAGACAAUUACGCGAAAAGGUACAUAAUUCCGCAUAAGAGGAAAAGCCACAGAUCUGGCAGCUUUCUUAUUUAUUACAUGGCCGCCGGAAAACGAGGAAGUUAAAUUGGCCGAUUUCCGCAGGAAAUUAUAUUAGCGAUCUGAUGUACGGUCUCUCGUUUUACUUUUACAUUCCAAUUCCAUUCUCGCUUCGGCAUAAUUGUAAUAAUGUCCCCUGGAGAACGCGUUCCAGUUGCGAGCGUAUGCGUCAUUUUGGGCAACUCUGUUUCCAUCGUCGGCAAUGUACACACGUCCUUGCGGCACGCUCGGUUUACUCUGGAUCGAGGAAAGGCAAAACAUCGUGAGAGGAUACAUAUGUUCCGUGCAAGCCGGUAAUCGAUCAUGGAGAUCGUAAAAAGUACUCGGACGUGUCUGCGCCAUCGGUCUCCGAGUGUCAAACGAGAAUUAAUAGUUCGCUCGAGUAAUGUACAAUGUACGGGGCCUGGUACACGAUGAAUAAAGAUGAGAAUCGCUUCAUCGGCGCUGGGAAAAGAAACAGAAACCAGAAGGAAGGGGGUCGAAGACGCGUCGGCCGACAAAAGCUGGAGAAAAAGAGAUUAAUAAGUUGGCUCACACGAGAGGGUGAUUUAGCCUGACAUUUUUGAAAUUCUAAUUUCGUUGAAAGCACCUUCGAAGAGGAUUUUCAUUUUUCCCUAUCCGUAAUCUUCCUUUUUUCCUGGAAAUAAAUAAACGCUUUGACGAGGUCGAGGUCGCUAAAAAGAUUAAUGAGAUCGUUUCCGGGACUUCAAUUUUAUUAAAGGUUCAAAGGGAAUCCCUCGGAGGAAAAAAGCGUGUAUCUUAAAAUUGUUAGCUUUGUUCCUCGUUAUCCGACACAUCGAACGAUUUAGAUAUUCUUUAAUGAGCCAUCAUUUGAACAUCUGUACACUUUACUCCGGAGAAUACGCGAAUUCCGUAAACUGGAAAUCGGGAUAAUAACGGGGGAUGUUUCCCGUUCGAUUGAAGAGGAACUUAAGAUACAGCGUCGAUACAGAGGGCGCCCGCGGCGAACCGUGAAGUUCCCAACAAUUCCUAUUUUAUCCUCUUCGGAUUCCACCGUGUCGCCUUUUCUUUUCCAUCCGGACGCACUGUGUGUACGUAAUUCCCGUAGUCGCGAUACCUCCUUUGUUCCUGUUCACGUAUCCUGGCUGGCGAACGCGCCACAAAGCUACCUUUAGCUUUGAUCGCGACGUACUCUAGUUCGGUAACUUCCAACCUUCUUCCUCGUUUUUCGAACGAAUAUUGUUCGACCGGACUUUGAGGUCUUGCAACCUGUCUAACUUUCGCUAAUUUUAUACACGGAAUCUUAGUUCUAACUUUGACGCAUUCGUUACAUGCAAUUACCUUUGAAACAGAUUUUCAUCCCCUUACUGAGCCAUCAAUUUUAAGCGUUGAAAUGGUCAUACACAAAGAAUAUUAAAAAAUGAACCAAUAACAGUAUAAGAAUUAAUAAGCUAGUCUUAAGUACAUCCAAGGAUCUCAGUUGUCCAUUAUACAAAGCCGGUCGAAAAAGUUGAUGGAAAAGGAAGAAACAGGGAAGGACAAAAAAAUAAGAAAGUUUCCAUCUCGCACGAACAUACCCAGCGAAGAUUUACGCCUGGUCUGUAAUUUAAUACAGGAUACUUUGCCGGAGUUCCUUCGAGAGUUACCUGUUCGCGGGGCGUGCGCGCGCACGGAGCUCGCGGAACGUGAGCGGACUUUGUGUCUGGCAUAUCGUAAGAAAAGAAAUAAAACGGAAAGAGCGAGGAAAGCGUGACGAAGGGUGGAGGAGCCAGGAAGCAAAGCCAGCUUGUGCAGUUCGCGGUAUCGUUAUUCACUGGCCGGCUCGAACAUCUAAUUACGAUGAAGAGGCUGUCCACGUACUGCUCGAUGAAAAAUUCAAUAUGAAACUGUAAUCGAGAGGAUUCUUCUUUUAUCACCCAUUCACGCCUCUUCUUUUUAUCUAUAACUGAACUGGUAACGCACUUGGUCUUCUUUGAUGGUGUUCUUUGACUGAAUUUCUUCUUACAUUGUUUUUUUGUAUGACAUUAUUUUUAUGGGGUCCAAAUGAAUGCAUAUGAAUGUUGUUCUUUGACUGAAUUUCUUCUGACAAUGUUUUCUCAUAUGAUAUUAUUUUUGCAGGGUCCAAACGAAUGCAGAGAAUUAGUCUGAUGAAGAUAAUGGUUCACUGAAGAUGAAGACUGAGUCAUGAAUAUUGGAGACAACUGAUAUUGAACACCUGGAUAACUGCAUUUGUUCAUGGGACAAAAAGUCAGAGCCCACACAAGGACCAUAUUAAGAAACCAGAUCAUAAUGUCCUCUAACUCUGCAAGGUCUAUCAGCAAGAUCCUAAAAGUUCAUUGAAAAGAUCAUAAGUCAUCUUCUCACUCUACCCACAAUUGAUGAAUUAAAUUUUGGAAAGUCAGAUUAGGAUUAAAGUGCACUUCGCCGCAAACCCAGUCUGGACACAGCAAGCUUCUCAUCCGAAAAGUUCUGUACAACAGUUCCGUCACGUUGCAUCCGGUGACGGCAAUAAUUCGGGAAGCAUCGGAAACGUCUAAAUCGCGUAUCCAGCCGAAACGGUCAGGUUGUUGUGGGAAUUCGGCCGGUCGAUUGGGCGAUUAUACAUGCGAUAAUAGAGCGUCGCAUAGCUACGAGAUCCGUUGUGUACCGAACAGUUUCGAGACGUGUCCAGCAGGAGCCUCCGCCACACUUCAGGAUUUGACGACACGUGUAGUCUGACUGCGUGCAUAUGUAGAAUUAACGAUAUUAAUACCUUAGUGACUGUCAAACUAGUUGGCUGUAUUUUUGAAGAAUUAAUUUAAGGAAACUUGAUGAGCUUGUUGUAUGAGCAGCCAGGUGUUAAUGAUCUCGUCUGAGCAGCCAGAGGUUAAUAUACAUAUGGAAGUCAUAGAAAAUUGUUAGCUUCAUGUCUUGCUGAUGUGAUUGAACUUGUUGAAAUGAUGAUGUCAAUGAUCUUGUCUGAGCAGCCAGAGGUUAAUAUACAUAUAGAAGUCAUAGAAAAUUGUUAGCUUCAUGUCUUGCUGAUGUGAUUAAACUUGCUGAAAUGAUGAUGUCAAUGGUCUUGUCUGAGCAGCCAGAGGUUAAUAUACAUAUGGAAGUCAUAGACGUCAUAGAAAAUUGUUAGCUUCAUCUCUUGCUGAUGUGAUUGAACUUGCUGAAAUGAUGAUGUCAAUGGUCUUGUCUGAGCAGCCAGAGGUUAAUAUACAUAUGGAAGUCACAGACGUCAUAGAAAAUUGUUAGCUUCAUCCCUUGCUGAUGUGAUUAAACUUGCUGAAAUGAUGAUGUCAAUGAUCUUGUCUGAGCAGCCAGAGGUUAAUAUACAUAUGGAAGUCAUAGAAAAUUGUUAGCUUCAUGUCUUGCUGAUGUGAUUAAACUUGCUGAAAUGAUGAUGUCAAUGAUCUUGUCUGAGCAGCCAGAGGUUAAUAUACAUAUGGAAGUCAUAGAAGACUUAGAAAAUUGUUAGCUUCAUCCCUUGCUGAUGUGAUUGAACUUGCUGAAAUGAUGAUGUCAAUGAUCUUGUCUGAGCAGCCAGAG
rnacentral:lncRNA from 1 species